UAUAUAUAGAGAGAGUAAAAUACAUAAACUGUACAUCUGAGUACUUUGAUGGGAUAUAACUAGUUCAACUGCAAACUUCACUCUCCUCGUUACAUCAAUUUGAAUGGAUAAUUCUUUUGACUACAAAGCUCUAUUACUGCCUUGUUCGUCAAGAACGCUAGACUCUUACAUAUAUACAAGCAACUGGCAUAAAUAUAAUAAUU